CCUUCUUUCCUUCCUUCCUUGCCUUUCCUUCCUUCCUUCCUUCCUUCCUUCCUUCNUUCUUUCUUUCUUUCUUUCUUUCUUUCUUUCUUUCUUUCUUUCUUUCUUUCUUUCUUUCUUUCUUUCUUUCUUUCUUUCUUUCUUUCUUUCUUUCUUUCUUUCUUUCUUUCUUUCUUUCUUUCUUUCUUUCUUUCUUUCUUUCUUUCUUUCUUUCUUUCUUUCUUUCUUUCUUUCUUUCUUUCUUUUUCUUUCUCUUUUUUAGCUCUAUCUAUCUAUCUAUUGAGAUUGGUUCUAUAAAUUA
rnacentral:lncRNA from 1 species